GACGAACGCUGGCGGCGUGCCUAACACAUGCAAGUCGAACGAAGUGGCGAACGGGUGAGUAACGCGUAAUCAACCUGCCCUUCAGAGGGGGACAACAGUUGGAAACGACUGCUAAUACCGCAUACUGAAGGAGGGGAUUGCGUCUGAUUAGCUAGUUGGAGGGGUAACGGCCCACCAAGGCGAAGAACAGUCGGCUGUCUGAGGGGGUGGACGGCCAAAUUGGGACUGGGGAACGGCCCAGGAUCCUACGGGGGGCAGCAGUGGGGAAACUUCCGCAAUGGACGAAAAUCUGACGGAGCAACGCCGCGUGAGUGAUGACAGCCUUCGGGUUGUAAAGCUCUGUUAAUCGGGACGCGGUACCGGAAUAGAAAGCCACGGCUAACUACGUGCCAGCAGCCGCGGUAAUAC
rnacentral:rRNA from 1 species